UACGUAGGGUGCGAGCGUUGUCCGGAAUUAUUGGGCGUAAAGGGCUCGUAGGCGGUUUGUCGCGUCGGGAGUGAAAACCCAGGGCUUAACCCUGGGCUGGCUUCCGAUACGGGCAGACUAGAGGUAUGCAGGGGAGAACGGAAUUCCUGGUGUAGCGGUGAAAUGCGCAGAUAUCAGGAGGAACACCGGUGGCGAAGGCGGUUCUCUGGGCCUUACCUGACGCUGAGGAGCGAAAGCGUGGGGAGCGAACAGG
rnacentral:rRNA from 1 species